GCUGCCCCCAGAGGCAUUGGAUGUGACCAAUGUGUCCAUGGCUGUGUCCCUAGAUGCCAGAGAGAGGACAGAUUUGUCCACACCCAGUGUUCUGACCUAUGAACUCUGAAGGGUUAGUGAUUUGAUCCU